rnacentral:rRNA from 1 species
GCAAGUCGAACGGAAACGAUGGGAGCUUGCUCCCAGGCGUCGAGUGGCGGACGGGUGAGUAACACAUAGGAAUCUGCCCAGUAGCGGGGGACAACUUGGGGAAACUCAAGCUAAUACCGCAUACGCCCUACGGGGGAAAGCGGGGGACCUUCGGGCCUCGCGCUAUCGGAUGAGCCUGCGUAGGAUUAGCUAGUUGGUGAGGUAAAGGCUUACCAAGGCGACGAUCAGUAGCUGGUCUGAGAGGAUGAUC